rnacentral:rRNA from 1 species
CUGACCGAUAGUGAACCAGUACCGUGAGGGAAAGGCGAAAAGAACCCCGGCGAGGGGAGUGAAAAAGAACCUGAAACCGUGUACGUACAAGCAGUGGGAGCACAGGUUUACCUGUGUGACUGCGUACCUUUUGUAUAAUGGGUCAGCGACUUAUAUUCUGUAGCAAGGUUAACCGUAUAGGGGAGCCGGAGGGAAACCGAGUCUUAAUUGGGCGUUAAGUUGCAGGGUAUAGACCCGAAACCCGGUGAUCUAGCCAUGGGCAGGUUGAAGGUUGGGUAACACUAACUGGAGGACCGAACCGACUAAUGUUGAAAAAUUAGCGGAUGACCUGUGGCUGGGGGUGAAAGGCCAAUCAAACCGGGAGAUAGCUGGUUCUCCCCGAAAGCUAUUUAGGUAGCGCCUCGUGAAUUCAUCUCCGGGGGUAGAGCACUGUUUCGGCUAGGGGGCCAUCCCGGCUUACCAACCCGAUGCAAACUGCGAAUACCGGAGAAUGUUAUCACGGGAGACACACGGCGGGUGCUAACGUCCGUCGUGAAGAGGGAAACAACCCAGACCGCCAGCUAAGGUCCCAAAGUCAUGGUUAAGUGGGAAACGAUGUGGGAAGGCCCAGACAGCCAGGAUGUUGGCUUAGAAGCAGCCAUCAUUUAAAGAAAGCGUAAUAGCUCACUGGUCGAGUCGGCCUGCGCGGAAGAUGUAACGGGGCUAAACCAUGCACCGAAGCUGCGGCAGCGACACUAUGUGUUGUUGGGUAGGGGAGCGUUCUGUAAGCCUGUGAAGGUGUGUCGUGAGGCAUGCUGGAGGUAUCAGAAGUGCGAAUGCUGACAUAAGUAACGAUAAAGCGGGUGAAAAGCCCGCUCGCCGGAAGACCAAGGGUUCCUGUCCAACGUUAAUCGGGGCAGGGUGAGUCGACCCCUAAGGCGAGGCCGAAAGGCGUAGUCGAUGGGAAACAGGUUAAUAUUCCUGUACUUGGUGUUACUGCGAAGGGGGGACGGAGAAGGCUAUGUUGGCCGGGCGACGGUUGUCCCGGUUUAAGCGUGUAGGUGUGUGUUCCAGGUAAAUCCGGUUCACUUUAACACUGAGGCGUGAUGACGAGGCACUACGGUGCUGAAGCAACAAAUGCCCUGCUUCCAGGAAAAGCCUCUAAGCAUCAGGUAACAUCAAAUCGUACCCCAAACCGACACAGGUGGUCAGGUAGAGAAUACCAAGGCGCUUGAGAGAACUCGGGUGAAGGAACUAGGCAAAAUGGUGCCGUAACU